rnacentral:sRNA from 1 species
GGAGGAGGGAGGAGAGCUGAAGAUCCCUGCCUGGGCUGCCUGAGCUAAGCAGUCAAAGUGGGAAGCUGAGUGCUUGAAAGAGGAUUAUGCUCGCACUAGAAAUAAGCAAUCUGUGGUUCUCUGGUCAGCAAGUUCUGGCAAGGAAGCCACUGCCACUGGCACAAAGAAUUCUGGGAUGUCUGACAGUGAAAUGGAUGGAAGGACCCACAUUCCAUCUCUACUUAAUGUCCUUUUGUCCAGAAACCGGGUCAUGCAAAUGAGCUACUUGUAAAGAACAAGGAUAUGGAAAACUAAGCAGUGAUGAAGACCUCGAAAUAAUUGUUGAUCAAAAGCAGCUGGUGAAUGAGCAACAAGAAAGCAGACCCCUCCUGAGUCCCUCCAUCGAUGACUUUCUCUGUGAAACCAAAUCGGAAGCAAUAGCAAGGCCAGUAACAUCCAAUACAGCUGUAUUGACCACUGGCUUAGAUCUCCUCGACCUGAGUGAACCAGUCUCUCAAACCCAAACCAAAGCCAAGAAGUCAGAGCCUUCAUCAAAAACCUCAUCCCUCAAGAAAAAGGCCGAUGGAUCUGACCUCAUCAGCACGGAUGCUGAGCAGAGAGGCCAG